rnacentral:lncRNA from 1 species
GUUCUUGACUUCCUUUUGUCCCAUUGUAUUGAAAGCUCCCCUUCACCGUUCGCGCAUUCCCGCCUCGUUGUGUAAUGCUAUCUCACUGUAUCCCACUUCCCCUCCCCCGACGCCGUGUUCUGUUGUCUUCUUUCGCUGUGUUGUGCUCCGUAGAGAGUUUCUUGGCCCCAGUCGCCUUUCCUAACCCUGCUGAUCGACCGAGCUGGCUUCCACCUCGCUUCAGGCAGUCCCUGUUUGCCGUAUGCUCCGCUCAUGGGGAGCGAGCGAACGCGUUGGGUUCUGGUGGAUCUUCUUGCUCUGUUUUGUGACGGUCCCCGUGCUUGCACGCCACGUGGAACUCCGCAGAAAUCUUCAUCCCAAGCUCGACACUAGUGAGGUUAUCCACAUCUCAGAACCUCCCUAGACGCUGUGGGAGCGUCUGGACAGCUCCCAGUGACUGCACAAGGGGUUCCUGCGUUGGUUGGGAUAUCACGGAAACGAGGCCUCCGAUCCUGGAUCCCACAGUGGAAACUGUUUUUCAAGCAGACGGACAACCGACGCAGCUGACACUCAUGCUGAUUCCUCUGACGAUCAACGAAAAAGGGCGAGGAAGAAAAGAGGACACAAAAUGUGACGGAGAAAGCGUCGGGAAGAGGAAAGGAUGGGGAGAGCGCGAGGAGAGGAAAACAGCUAUCAUAAACAGAGGAAAAGAGCGAGAAAAACCCAGGACUGGUGCUCGCCCUUACACCUGGGAAGACUCGAAGUGAGGUGAACAAACCAAGCGAAGGGAGAAGUACGUUUCGUGCUGUCAUUCCCUGUGAUCAGUGGUCGUUUUGACGCACACCAUCGACAACCUUACCGAAAACUCGAACGUCUACGUUCUCAGCUGCAUCCUCGAUAGGGGACUACCCUGAUGGCUCCUCAAUCCCUUCGAGCUCCUCGCAACUCGCCCCGAAGCUUUGCUGUAUCCCUCAGUUUUUCUCUCUUUCAAAAAUGUGUUCCAACCAGAAUCACAAGCUUGUCCUGACAGCAGAGGAAGGACAUGAGCGAGAGCGCUAUUCGGCGCAUGCGGCGAACAUUCUCCUCGGCAUUGCACAGCCAUUUACGGACGCGUUCUGUGUCCAGAAGAGUUUCCCGGUUUCUGUUCGGACACAAGAAGCUUGUGGUGUAGAAACGUGCAACACAGAGCACCCACACAGGCACAGCAGAAAGGUGGAUGCCACUGAAUUGUUUUAACACAUGCUGA